AUUAGUUGAAUUUUGUCCUUCCUCAAAUUUUCCCUGAUUUUCCUUUAAAAAUUUCUUUCGUUUGUGACUAUCUUGUUCAUUUACUACCAACAAAGUGGCCAAUACUCCAGAAAUAAUUUGCAACAAAACAGAUAAACCAAUAAUGCUUAAACCUGCGAUUUGAUUCCACUGUGUAAUGUCAUAGCUUUUCACUGUAUUUUUUG
rnacentral:lncRNA from 1 species